AACGAACGCUGGCGGCAGGCCUAACACAUGCAAGUCGAGCGAGCAUUUCGGUGCUAGCGGCGGACGGGUGAGUAACGCGUGGGAACGUGCCCUUUUCUGCGGAAUAGUCCUGGGAAACUGGGGGUAAUACCGCAUACGCCCUUUUGGGGAAAGAUUUAUCGGAGAAGGAUCGGCCCGCGUUGGAUUAGGUAGUUGGUGGGGUAAUGGCCCACCAAGCCGACGAUCCAUAGCUGGUUUGAGAGGAUGAUCAGCCACACUGGGACUGAGACACGGCCCAGACUCCUACGGGAGGCAGCAGUGGGGAACCUUAGACAAUGGGGGCAACCCUGAUCUAGCCAUGCCGCGUGAGUGAUGAAGGCCUUAGGGUUGUAAAGCUCUUUCAGCUGGGAAGAUAAUGACGGUACCAGCAGAAGAAGCCCCGGCUAACUCCGUG
rnacentral:rRNA from 1 species